UACGUAGGGUGCAGGCGUUAAUCGGAAUUACUGGGCGUAAAGCGUGCGCAGGCGGUUUGCUAAGACAGGUGUGAAAUCCCCGGGCUUAACCUGGGAACUGCGCUUGUAACUGGCAAGCUAGAGUGUGGCAGAGGGGAGUGGAAUUCCACGUGUAGCAGUGAAAUGCGUAGAUAUGCGGAGGAACACCGAUGGCGAAGGCAAUCCCCUGGGCCUGCACUGACGCUCAUGCACGAAAGCGUGGGGAGCAAACAGG
rnacentral:rRNA from 1 species